rnacentral:rRNA from 1 species
UACGUAGGGCGCAAGCGUUGUCCGGAAUUAUUGGGCGUAAAGAGCUCGUAGGUGGCGUGUCGCGUCUGCCGUGAAAGCCCAUGGCUUAACUGUGGGUCUGCGGUGGAUACGGGCAGGCUGGAGGCUGGUAGGGGCAAGUGGAAUUCCUGGUGUAGCGGUGAAAUGCGCAGAUAUCAGGAGGAACACCAAUGGCGAAGGCAGCUCGCUGGAACGGUACUGACGCUGAGGCGCGAAAGCGUGGGGAGCGAACAGG